rnacentral:rRNA from 1 species
GACGAACGCUGGCGGCGUGCCUAAUACAUGCAAGUAGAACGCUGAAGAGAGGAGCUUGCUCUACUUGGAUGAGUUGCGAACGGGUGAGUAACGCGUAGGUAACCUGCCUUGUAGCGGGGGAUAACUAUUGGAAACGAUAGCUAAUACCGCAUAACAAUGGAUGACACAUGUCAUUUAUUUGAAAGGGGCAAUUGCUCCACUACAAGAUGGACCUGCGUUGUAUUAGCUAGUAGGUGAGGUAAUGGCUCACCUAGGCGACGAUACAUAGCCGACCUGAGAGGGUGAUCGGGCACACUGGGACUGGGACACGGCCCAGACUCCGGGGGGAGGCAGCAGUAGGGAAUCGUCGGCGAGUGGGGCGACCCAGACAGAGCAAAGCCGCGUGAGUGAAGAAGGGUGUCGGAUGGUAAAGCUCUGUUGUAAGACGAGAGCGGGUGGGAGAGUGGAAAGUGCACACUGUGACGGUAGCUUACCAGAAGAGGACGGCUAACUACGUG